GACUUAUCUCUUCAUUUUUUUUCCCAGAGGCCCAGGAGCCGGUCCAAGUGACAGAGGCAACAGAGACUGUGGUUUGUGCCCUGGGCCUGGUAGUGGGCCUGGUGGGCAUCAUUACAGGCACGGUGCUCAUCACAAGGGCUCUGCGUUCCAGUCGUGACCCUCGGGCCCAGGGACCCCUGUGACAAAAUUCCUGAAAAGAAGAGGACUUCGGAGAGAUCUGAAUUCUAGCUGUCCUAUGGAUGCUAGUCUCAGCUUUCCUUUUCAAUUCCUGUGCUUUCUAUCCCACUGACUAACUUUCUUGCUAGCCCUUCAAGUCCUUAUUUGCAACCUUAACAUCCUCAGCCCUUGAUACAGUUCCCAAAAAAUGGAAUGUAAUGAAUAAGUAUUGAUAUUUUUGUAGCACUGGCAUGGAGAUUAUCCCUUCAGUGGGCUUCAUGUCUUCUGGACUCCUUUGAAAAACCUUCCAAUGCCUGCUUCCUAAAAACACCCUAAGACCAAUAAAUUUUUCACUGUUUCAUAACUGA